CCCAGCCCGGGCGCGGUGCACGCUGGGUCUCGCCACCCGCCUGGGCCCGGGUCCGCUCGGGCGGCCCCCACAGCGCCCCCUGCGGCCGGGAGGAGCGGGCGCCGCCCCCGGGAGCCGCCUGCGCUGUGGGGCGGGGAGGGCCCGAGCCCCCGCGGCCGGUGCGGGAGGAUCCUCGCGCUCUCCUGGGGUCUCCAAGGGAGGGAGACGGAGAGGGGAAACGGAGAGUCAGCUGGAAGUGGAUGGACAGGAAACUCGCCCCUCACUGAGAUGGAGACGGAGAGGGGGAGUGUGGGGUUUGGUUCCUCCCCAGCGCUGACCCCAGUCAACGACUAGCUUCAUCUGUGAGGCGAUCCCAGGAAUCAAGCGAGGGAGAGUUCCUUGGUCACCUGGAGAGAAAAAAAGAGGGCCCAACUUCAUCAGUGAUGCGUCUGCACCAUGGUGGGGUUCAAGGACCACCUUCAUGUCACUAAGAAUGAUCUUGAUGACUCUGUGAAUCUGCCUGCCACAGGUGAUCAGAUCUGGCUUGGAAAAAACCCAGCCUGCAAAGAGAGUCCACAAAGACUCAGUAUGGAGUUCCUGAGUACUUGGCUAAAAACAAUUUUCACAGCUGACUGAUUCCUGGAGACAUGACAUCAAAAUCAGGUUAAAAAAAAAGGAAACCUUUAAAUGCAAAUCAAAACUACAGUAAGAUAUCACCU